rnacentral:rRNA from 1 species
UACGGGGGGGGCAAGCGUUGUUCGGAAUUACUGGGCGUAAAGGGCUCGUAGGCGGCCAACUAAGUCCGACGUGAAAUCCCCAGGCUUAACCUGGGAACUACGUCGGAUACUGGAUGGCUUGAAUUCGGGAGAGGGAUGCAGAAUUCCAGGUGUAGCGGUGAAAUGCGUAGAUAUCUGGAGGAAUACCGGUGGCGAAGGCGGCAUCCUGGACCGACAUUGACGCUGAUGAGCGAAAGCUAGGGGAGCAAACGGG